GGGUUGUGAGGUUAAGCGACUAAGCGUACACGGUGGAUGCCUUGGCAGUCAGAGGCGAUGAAGGACGUGCUAAUCUGCGAUAAGCGUCGGUAAGGUGAUAUGAACCGUUAUAACCGGCGAUUUCCGAAUGGGGAAACCCAGUGUGAUUCGUCACACUAUCAUUAACUGAAUCCAUAGGUUAAUGAGGCGAACCGGGGGAACUGAAACAUCUAAGUACCCCGAGGAAAAGAAAUCAACCGAGAUUCCCCCAGUAGCGGCGAGCGAACGGGGAGCAGCCCAGAGCCUGAAUCAGUGUGUGUGUUAGUGGAAGCGUCUGGAAAGGCGUGCGAUACAGGGUGACAGCCCCGUACACAAAAAUGCACAUACUGUGAGCUCGAUGAGUAGGGCGGGACACGUGGUAUCCUGUCUGAAUAUGGGGGGACCAUCCUCCAAGGCUAAAUACUCCUGACUGACCGAUAGUGAACCAGUACCGUGAGGGAAAGGCGAAAAGAACCCCGGCGAGGGGAGUGAAAAAGAACCUGAAACCGUGUACGUACAAGCAGUGGGAGCACGCUUAGGCGUGUGACUGCGUACCUUUUGUAUAAUGGGUCAGCGACUUAUAUUCUGUAGCAAGGUUAACCGAAUAGGGGAGCCGAAGGGAAACCGAGUCUUAACUGGGCGUUAAGUUGCAGGGUAUAGACCCGAAACCCGGUGAUCUAGCCAUGGGCAGGUUGAAGGUUGGGUAACACUAACUGGAGGACCGAACCGACUAAUGUUGAAAAAUUAGCGGAUGACUUGUGGCUGGGGGUGAAAGGCCAAUCAAACCGGGAGAUAGCUGGUUCUCCCCGAAAGCUAUUUAGGUAGCGCCUCGUGAAUUCAUCUCCGGGGGUAGAGCACUGUUUCGGCAAGGGGGUCAUCCCGACUUACCAACCCGAUGCAAACUGCGAAUACCGGAGAAUGUUAUUACGGGAGACACACGGCGGGUGCUAACGUCCGUCGUGAAGAGGGAAACAACCCAGACCGCCAGCUAAGGUCCCAAAGUCAUGGUUAAGUGGGAAACGAUGUGGGAAGGCCCAGACAGCCAGGAUGUUGGCUUAGAAGCAGCCAUCAUUUAAAGAAAGCGUAAUAGCUCACUGGUCGAGUCGGCCUGCGCGGAAGAUGUAACGGGGCUAAACCAUGCACCGAAGCUGCGGCAGCGACGCUUAUGCGUUGUUGGGUAGGGGAGCGUUCUGUAAGCCUGUGAAGGUGUGCUGUGAGGUAUGCUGGAGGUAUCAGAAGUGCGAAUGCUGACAUAAGUAACGAUAAAGCGGGUGAAAAGCCCGCUCGCCGGAAGACCAAGGGUUCCUGUCCAACGUUAAUCGGGGCAGGGUGAGUCGACCCCUAAGGCGAGGCCGAAAGGCGUAGUCGAUGGGAAACAGGUUAAUAUUCCUGUACUUGGUGUUACUGCGAAGGGG
rnacentral:rRNA from 1 species